rnacentral:rRNA from 1 species
AGUGGACGCUGGCGGUAGGCCUAACACAUGCAAGUCGAACGGCAGCACAGUAAGAGCUUGCUCUUACGGGUGGCGAGUUGCGGACGGGUGAGGAAUACAUCGGAAUCUACUUUUUCGUGGGGGAUAACGUAGGGAAACUUACGCUAAUACCGCAUACGACCUACGGGUGAAAGCAGGGGAUCUUCGGACCUUGCGCGAUUGAAUGAGCCGAUGUCGGAUUAGCUAGUUGGCGGGGUAAAGGCCCACCAAGGCGACGAUCCGUAGCUGGUCUGAGAGGAUGAUCAGCCACACUGGAACUGAGACACGGUCCAGACUCCUACGGGAGGCAGCAGUGGGGAAUAUUGGACAAUGGGCGCAAGCCUGAUCCAGCCAUACCGCGUGGGUGAAGAAGGCCUUCGGGUUGUAAAGCCCUUUUGUUGGGAAAGAAAAGCAGCAGGUUAAUACCCCGCUGUUCUGACGGUACCCAAAGAAUAAGCACCGGCUAACUUCGUG